GACGAACGCUGGCGGCGUGCCUAAUACAUGCAAGUGGGACGCAAGGGAACACACUGUGCUUGCACACCGUGUUUUCUUGAGUCGCGAACGGGUGAGUAACGCGUAGGUAACCUGCCUAUUAGCGGGGGAUAACUAUUGGAAACGAUAGCUAAUACCGCAUAAUAUUAAUUAUUGCAUGAUAAUUGAUUGAAAGAUACAAGCGCAUCACUAGUAGAUGGACCUGCGUUGUAUUAGCUAGUUGGUAAGGUAAGAGCUUACCAAGGCGACGAUACAUAGCCGACCUGAGAGGGUGAUCGGCCACACUGGGACUGAGACACGGCCCAGACUCCUACGGGAGGCAGCAGUAGGGAAUCUUCGGCAAUGGACGAAAGUCUGACCGAGCAACGCCGCGUGAGUGAAGAAGGUUUUCGGAUCGUAAAGCUCUGUUGUAAGUCAAGAACGUGUGUGAGAGUGGAAAGUUCACACAGUGACGGAGCUACCAGAAAG
rnacentral:rRNA from 1 species